UCAGGAUGAACGCUAGCGGCAGGCUAACACAUGCAAGUCGAGGGGCAACGCGAGUAGCAAUACUUGGCGGCGACCGGCGCAAGGGUGCGUAACGCGUGAGCAACAUGCCCGUAUCAGGGGGGAUAAUCCAGGGAAACUUGGUCUAAUACCCAUAGUAAUUUUGUAAGGCAUCUUAUAAGAUUUAAAGCUUUGGUGGAUACGGAUUGGCUCGCGUGACAUUAGCUGGAUGGUAAGGUGACGGCUUACCAUGGCUAUGAUGUCUAGGGGUUCUGAGAGGAAGGUCCCCCCACACUGGAACUGAGACACGGUCCAGACUCCUACGGGAGGCAGCAGUGAGGAAUAUUGGACAAUGGAUGGAAAUCUGAUCCAGCCAUGCCGCGUGAAGGAAAGAAGGUCCUAUGGAUUGUAAACUUCUUUUGUAUGAGAGCAAUAAGGCCUACGAGUAGGUUGAUGAGAGUACCAUACGAAUAAGCACCGGCUAACUCCGUGCCAGCCGCCGC
rnacentral:rRNA from 1 species